GACGAACGCUGGCGGCGUGCUUAACACAUGCAAGUCGAACGGAAAGGCCCUGCUUUUGUGGGGUGCUCGAGUGGCGAACGGGUGAGUAACACGUGAGUAACCUGCCCUUGACUUUGGGAUAACUUCAGGAAACUGGGGCUAAUACCGGAUAGGAGCUCCUGCUGCAUGGUGGGGGUUGGAAAGUUUCGGCGGUUGGGGAUGGACUCGCGGCUUAUCAGCUUGUUGGUGGGGUAGUGGCUUACCAAGGCUUUGACGGGUAUCCGGCCUGAGAGGGUGACCGGCCACAUUGGGACUGAGAUACGGCCCAGACUCCUACGGGAGGCAGCAGUGGGGAAUAUUGCACAAUGGGCGGAAGCCUGAUGCAGCAACGCCGCGUGCGGGAUGACGGCCUUCGGGUUGUAAACCGCUUUCGCCUGUGACGAAGCGUGAGCGACGGUAAUGGGUAAAGAAGCACCGGCUAACUACGUG
rnacentral:rRNA from 1 species